rnacentral:rRNA from 1 species
ACAGCAGUAGCCGCGGUAACACGAAGGGUGCAAGCGUUACUCGGAAUUACUGGGCGUAAAGCGUGCGUAGGCGGUUUGUUAAGUCUGCUGUGAAAUCCCCGGGCUCAACCUGGGAAUGGCAGUGGAUACUGGCAAGCUAGAGUGUGUCAGAGGAUGGUGGAAUUCCCGGUGUAGCGGUGAAAUGCGUAGAGAUCGGGAGGAACAUCAGUGGCGAAGGCGGCCAUCUGGGACAACACUGACGCUGAGGCACGAAAGCGUGGGGAGCAAACAGGAUUAGAUACCCGGGUAGUCCCUGUCUCUUAUAC